AUUGAACGCUGGCGGCAGGCCUAACACAUGCAAGUCGAGCGGAUGAGUGGAGCUUGCUCCAUGAUUCAGCGGCGGACGGGUGAGUAAUGCCUAGGAAUCUGCCUAUUAGUGGGGGACAACGUUUCGAAAGGAACGCUAAUACCGCAUACGCCCUACGGGAGAAAGCAGGGGACCUUCGGGCCUUGCGCUAAUAGAUGAGCCUAGGUCGGAUUAGCUAGUUGGUGAGGUAAUGACUCACCAAGGCGACGAUCCGUAACUGGUCUGAGAGGAUGAACAGUAACACUGGAACGGAGACCCGGUCCAGACGCCUUCGGGAGGCAGCAGUGGGGAAUAUUGGACAAUGGGCGAAAGCCUGAUCCAGCCAUGCCGCGUGUGUGAAGAAGGUCUUCGGAGUGUGAAGCACUUUAAGUUGGGAGGAAGGGUUGUACGUUAAUACCGUGCAAUUUUGACGUUACCGACAGAAUAAGCACCGGCUAACUCUGUGCCAGCCGCCGCAGUAA
rnacentral:rRNA from 1 species